rnacentral:rRNA from 1 species
GACGUAGGGCGCGAGCGUUGUCCGGAUUUAUUGGGCGUAAAGAGCUCGUAGGCGGUCCGUCACGUCGGCUGUGAAAACCCGGGGCUCAACCCCGGGCCUGCAGUCGAUACGGGCGGACUAGAGUUCGGCAGGGGAGACUGGAAUUCCUGGUGUAGCGGUGAAAUGCGCAGAUAUCAGGAGGAACACCGGUGGCGAAGGCGGGUCUCUGGGCCGAUACUGACGCUGAGGAGCGAAAGCGUGGGGAGCGAACAGG